UACGUAGGGGGCAAGCGUUGUCCGGAUUUAUUGGGCGUAAAGAGCGUGUAGGCGGCCAGGUAGGUCAGCUGUGAAAACUCGAGGCUCAACCUCGAGACGUCGGUUGAAACCACCUGGCUAGAGUCCGGAAGAGGAGAGUGGAAUUCCUGGUGUAGCGGUGAAAUGCGCAGAUAUCAGGAAGAACACCCGUGGCGAAGGCGGCGCUCUGGGACGGUACUGACGCUGAGACGCGAAAGCGUGGGGAGCGAACAGG
rnacentral:rRNA from 1 species